rnacentral:snoRNA from 1 species
CCAUUGGGUGAUGAGGAGCUUGUGUCAUAUAUUGUGACCGGGCUUGACCUCUAAUUCAAUCCAGUGGUCUCAGCGGUGUUGGCUCGAGUGGAGCCGAUCACCAUUGGUGAGCUCUACUCUCAGCUGCUAGGUUUUGAGC